UUUCUAAGGUGACAGCAUUUGAGACCAGAGUCUCUUCCUUUUUUUUUUUUUUUAAAGCAGGGAGCAGCUUUCUAGACAGAGGUCUCCAGAUGGACGAGCCAGGGCCCUGCUUCUUGAAGCAACUUGGUAUACUCAAAGAACUGAAAGGGCCAGUGUGGCUGCAGCUCGUCAGACAUGGAGAAGAGUGGAAUAAGGUGAUGUUAGAGAGGAAAGAAUAAACCAGAGGCUAAUAGGGCAGGAUACAGAUUAUGGAUGUCUUCGUUAAUAGAGUGGGAGGUUGACAAGCACUGACUUGCAUUUUAGAGAGUUCUAUGUCAUCAGAGGGUCUGAUUUAGUAGGUUUGGGGUGGAGAAGGGAGAUUCUGCAUUUCUAACAACCAUCCUAGGUAACUUCUGAUACAGAGACUCUUCAGAAAAGCUCCUGGAGAAUCAUGCUCUAAAAGACUCGCCUUCCUCUCCUUUGGUGACGUUCACCCAAGGUAAACUUUGACACAACGGCUUAGAUUCUCAUCUAGAGAAGUUAGGAACAAGAGACUCCUGAGUUAGGAACAGUGCAGACUUAGCUCCAUGCUACACUCACACACUAAACACUGAGUGAUUUGUUAUAAAUUACUAUUUCAGAAGGACUACCACAAGGCAACUAUCAGCCAAUGGUUACCCAGAACUAGACGGAGCCUCCCAAAGUGCUAUCCUCAGGAGAGAGGCCUAGAAUGCACUAAUUUUGUUCUGAUGACUCCUAAAGGCUCCAAAACACGUAAGACUGUGCAGACUUCCACGGGGCAGGGGUCGUUGCCUUUGACUCCUCCUGGAACCUGGCACAAUGGUGAACAGAUAGCUACAAGCAAGGCACUGGUGACUGGCGCCGAUUUCUGAUAAGAUCAUCAAUCAGUAACUGAAAAAGAGGCUGCUAUAAUUUCUGCUACAAUGUAUUAGUAUGCCCAUGAAUUUCGUGCGAACUACUUUCUAUAAACGGAUCUCAAGCUGUACAUAAAGUUGCAAUUCUCAGCAGUCCGCAUUUAGAGGAAGCUCUUUGUGGCUCCGGUAAAAUUUUCUCUGCCACAAUUCUUUAAAAUUCUGUGGAAAAUCACUAAGGAAUGGGAUAAUUCCUAACCUAGUUCAUUGACAAGAACAAAUGUUCAGUACGUGCUUUACUAAGGAGGACCACGGAAACAAUCGUUUUAAGUGAUGUGCUGAUUUCUUCUAAACUUUGCAGUGUAUUUUACAAACAGCAAUCUAACAGCCUGGAAGGUGUCAGUCUGCUGGGAGAUGCCGAGCUGCCGAGGGCUCGAAGGCGCCACCACAGGCAUAUAGGAGAUCUGGACGCCCCGCCCCCGCGCGCCGGCGGCCCUCCAGACCCCCUGCGGGCCACGCGACUGCGCACGCGCUCUCCGCCGCGAGAGGCGGGUGGCGCGCGCGCGGGUCUCCUCGCGUCCUGGAUGCGGACCCCAAGUAAUCGGCGUCCCCUCCUUGUGGGAAGUGGAUGGAUCUGCAGGAGCCAAAUCUCUGGUAGUGACGAGUGAGCGAGCCAGGCUCUCGGCCUUUCAUCCUGUCCGAAAUAGAAGUCUCUUGGGCCUCUACCGGGACUGCCGGCUCAGAAGACAAGUGGCCUGAUCCGCAGACCUUUGGAAGAAACACAAGAGCAGGUUUUGGGGCUGGUGUCUGUGGAAGAUGCGUUCACUUUAGGACAUACUGAGCCUGAAGUUCAGCUGAUGAAAGGAGCAGCUUGAGAAGGCCUUCACUGUGGAAUUUGGCAUAUAAGAUUUGAUACAUGCUCACUGCAAAAAUGAAAUUAAAAUCUAGAAGUGUGUAAUAGAAGAAGUAAGUCCUCACUCUCAUCUUAUAACGCAGGCCCUCCAGGACCAGUUCAACUGACCCCAUCUCUUAUCAACAGAGUGAUUAAGAAUUGCCUUUCAUCUCCUGCUGGACACUGGCCCAGCCUUGCCAUGGUCAGUAGGGGGAGGGGCUUCUCCCCCUUAGACUUUGGAGCUGCCUUCCCCCAUUCCCAUAGCCCUCUCUGGGCAGAGCCAGGCCUUCCUUGACUGACCCCAAGCUGCUGCCACCUCCUCACACAUCCCCACACAGCCCUGACCAUGGCCAUAUUACACAUGCUGACCUCACUCAGCAGCCAGGCCUGGCCUCCCUCUUUACCCCACCUCUGCUACUCUCCCAGAAGAAGCCUUGUCCAGCCAGAAUGACGCUGUCCUGCCAGUUGGUUCCUACCCACUCCCUUUAGCCUGUUCUCUAAGCCACAAACCUCCAUUUGUAUGUUGCCUCCUCCAGGAAGUCUUCCAGGAAGCCCCAUGUUGAGGAAGGUGUCCUCCUGCUGGCAUUUCCCACACUGUUGGAUCAAUCAUUGUAUACACAUUUGUUUCUUCUUCAUGUAGACUUAUACAAAAUACAUGCCUAUUGAACUUAAUAAAUGCAGAAAAUAUAAAAAUCCUAAA